CCUACGGGCGGCUGCAGUGAGGAAUAUUGGUCAAUGGACGAGAGUCUGAACCAGCCAAGUAGCGUGAAGGAUGACUGCCCUAUGGGUUGUAAACUUCUUUUAUAUGGGAAUAAAAUGUUCCACGUGUGGGAUUUUGUAUGUCCCAUAUGAAUAAGGAUCGGCUAACUCCGUGCCAGCAGCCGCGGUAAUACGGAGGAUCCGAGCGUUAUCCGGAUUUAUUGGGUUUAUAGGGAGCGUAGGUGGAUUGUUAAGUCAGUUGUGAAAGUUUGCGGCUCAACCGUAAAAUUGCAGUUGAAACUGGCAGUCUUGAGUACAGUAGAGGUGGGCGGAAUUCGUGGUGUAGCGGUGAAAUGCUUAGAUAUCACGAAGAACUCCGAUUGCGAAGGCAGUUCACUGGACUGCAACUGACACUGAGGCUCGAAAGUGUGGGUAUCAAACAGGAUUAGAUACCCGGGUAGUC
rnacentral:rRNA from 1 species